GACGAACGCUGGCGGCGUGCCUAAUACAUGCAAGUCGAACGCAUUUUCUUUCACCGUACCUUGCUACGACGAACGACAAUGAGUGGCGUACGGGUGAGUAAAACUUCGGUAACCUGCCCAUCAGCGUGUGAUAACACUUGGAAAUAGGUCCUAAUAACGCAUAAUUUCAUUUUCUGCAUGGAAGAUGGCUGAUAGAUGCCUUUGCGUCACUGCUGGGUGGACUUGCGUUGCAUUAGCUAGUUGGUGGGGUAACGGCGUACCAAGGCUGCGAUGCAUAGCCGACCUGAGAGGGUGAUCGGCCACACUGGGACUGAGACACGGCCCAAACUCCUACGGGAGGCAGCAGUAGGGAAUCUUCGGCAAUGGACGCAAGUCUGACCGAGCAACGCCGCGUGAGUGAAGAAGGUUUUCGGAUCGUAAAACUCUGUUGGUAGAGAAGAACGAGGAUGAGAGUGGAAAGCUCAUCAAGUGACGGUAACUAACCAGAAAGCCACGGCUAACUACGUG
rnacentral:rRNA from 1 species